GGCCGAGCCCGCGGGGACGCGUGGGAAGCCGAAGUCCUGCCUUUCGCUUGCCGCACGGGCUUCCGGCUGAGUCGAGAUCUUCGCUGGAAGCCUGGUUUCUUCUGCUCCUUCUCCACCUUGAGGGACGUGGCACUGUCACCUCUGACCGAUUCCCUGGCCGGCUCCGGUAUCGGCUGUUUGACAAGAAACGCACCUCUGUUCAGAAUCCUGUAGACAGGAUCUUGCGUCCUGUUCUGAAGCUGGGGGGAGGAUAGUUUCUGCUUUGCUAAUUUGAAGGUGGCUGCGUUUUUUCCUGUUAAACGUAUGUUGUGCUUAAAUUAUGUUAGUAGUUAUUAGUACUUUGAUUUUCUUUUGAAGGAUUUAUUUUCAUGAAAAGCAAUAUAUUACCUGGGAAAACAGC